CUUAUAUUCCUGAUGGCCACAUUCCUGCCGAAUCAUUUGGCUGGAAAACAUCUGAUACAUUGUUGGGAGACGUCUUACAACAAGGAAACAGGAAAGGAAGAGAAAGACCUGCAGAGGCUGAUGCAAUACUCCAAGCUGUCAACCAUGGCCAUGAUGAGCUCAUUCUUAUGCCAGGUGAUGCCGGAGAACGUCAGAGCAACAGGCAGUAUCUCACAGACUUCCCCGUAACAGGCAUGCAUUCGCCCAUUGGAUCAACAUCUUUCAAUUUAUUAGCAUGAAAAGGACACAAUUAUUUUGGAUAUGCCUGAAUGCAAUUUUCAUUAACUUUGCAAUGAUUUAUUAACAAAAGUGUCAGGAAUGUAAUAAAAGCAGCAGGACUCCUUAAAAUGCCAAAAUAGAAAAAAAAAAUUGAAGAAUACGCUAGAAUUUCCCAACCCGCCUUACGGCACCAGGUCAAUAAGGUUGCCUGAUUCCAUCAAAAGCAUCAGCAUGGUGAGUGAACUCUGCAAUUAACAAAGAGUAAGCACAAAAAAUGCUAAUAUCUCAUUUGAAUGUAAUUAUGCACAGAUUACUGUUCACUGGAACAAGAAAAGGGAUUUUAAUUGUCAUCCAAAGUUACACGCAAACCUAGAUUCUUGUUAACUUUUUUUUGGGGGGUGGGGUUGGGGUGUUCAUGUGAGAGUAAAGCAGACAAUUCACAAUUCCUAUGUUCAGGGACAUUGGAAAAGGCAAUGCCUUUGUUUAAGAGAUACAACAUCACAAAGUUUUAAAAUAGCAUCAUCCCAUGUAUAUUGGCAAGGUUAGUUUGUAAUAAGUUUCACCAUCGUUUGCAUUUUAAUACUAUUUGAUCUCAUUUACAUGUUUAAAUUUGUUCCUGUAAUAAAAUUCAUUAGUAUGUUUAUCAUAACUACAUAAUGAAUAUAGCCCUUAUGUAAAAUAAAAAAUUGAAAGUACAUUAGAGACAUUACAAGCUGU
ensembl:lncRNA